rnacentral:pre_miRNA from 1 species
UAUUAAAAAUUUCAUCAACUUUACCGUUAAAUAAUGACAUUGCUGAUAAAAUAAAUAAUUAAUUAUAUGUGGCGUGCCACGUAUGCCUCAUAUUGACAUACAUUAACCAAUUUUUAAUAGUAGAAACGGAUAAAAUUUUUAAUA